UGUGAUGCCCUCCAAGAAUGUGCAUGUGUGUAUAGCUGUGUGCAUAUUCACUUCUCUACAUGAAUAUGCACAUAGCUGUAUGCACACAUACUCACAGGAAUGGCCAGAACUAUGUCUCAGUUAGGAG
ensembl:miRNA Gm26073 predicted gene, 26073